rnacentral:lncRNA from 1 species
CCAAAGGAAGUGAUCUUUAGAAAUGGCAAAUACAAGCAAAUGUCAAUUGUACUUUUAGGAAGGAAGUCCAGCCCCAGUGUUUGUAGACUAUCUGGCCAGUAUCUGUAAAACGUGUUCUUCACACACAUUUCCUGGGCUUAAGAGAAGGGCACAUCUGCAGUUUGAGCAUUGACCACAUGAGACCAUUCCCACCAGACUGUUCAAUGCAGAAAGCUAUAGAAAGAUCUCUGAGUUGUGAAACGCAGGAGACAACAACACUGAGGACUAUCAGUGAUGGAGGCAGAGUGAAUUCUGCAGUCAUCUCUCGUCUCACAGUCAAUAUAUACAGCAAAUGGCUGGAAAAAGCGAGCCUUGG